rnacentral:lncRNA from 1 species
AUUCUUUCAUUCAGGUUUUUCCCCCUUUUCUUGUUCUUUUAAGUAUCAGAUGAAAAUUGAGGAAUUUUGGGGUUAACAAUGAAACAGAGCUUUGACAGUGUUUUCGCCAUAGAAGAUAUUGAGGUUGCCAAUAUCAUGUUGGAGCUUCCUCGUCUCAUGUUACGCCCUCCUCGCUUUUCUUGUACUUGGGGCUGCCGGAGGAAGAGAUCUGUUUGCACAUCUUCUCCGCCGCCGUCGAAACAGCCUCUUCCUUCUUCCACCGUCGUGGGACCCAUCGAAAAGGUCUUAUCUUCAAGCCCUGAUACACCCCUGUCUUUUUGUUCCAAUGAAGCAGAUGAGAAGUCUCUCCCUCUGCCUCCCAAGAAAAAAGCUUCUUCGGUUAAUAGUCUCAAAAGGGUACGUCGUUUUAUCUUCGCUUUGGGUCAUCAUCACCUUGAAUUUUUUUUCUUUUUUUGAGUUCAUUGUCCUUACACGUCUGCUCUGUUUUCUGAUACGUGUCCGUUCUGGGUUUUUGUUUUCUUAAUAAAACAGAAAAAAGAACAAUUUUUAGAGACGGUGGAGGAUUUUACCCAUCGCAAUGAAAUACUUAAAAAGGUG